rnacentral:rRNA from 1 species
AUUGAACGCUGGCGGCAGGCCUAACACAUGCAAGUCGAGCGGAUCGUCGGUCGCGUGCUUAAUGCCUAGGAAUCUGCCUGGUAGUGUGGGAUACCGUCCGGCAACGGGCGCUAAUACCGCAUACUAUCAGAUGAGCCUCGGUCGGAUUGGCUAGUUGGUGGGUAAAGGGCCUACCAAGGCGACGAUCCGUACCUGGUCUGAGAGGAUGAUCAGUCACACGGGAAUGGAGACACGGUCCAGAAUCCUACGGGAGGCAGCAGGGGGGAAUAUUGGACAAUGGGCGAAAUCUUGAUCCAGCCAUGCGGCGUGUGUGAAGAAGGUCUUGGGAUUGUAAAGCACGUUAAGUGGGGAGGCGUUACCAAAAGAAUAAGCAACGGCUAACUACGUGCCAGCAGCCGCGGUAAUAC